CGAGACCGGCUCCGGGACACCCUGAUACAUGAGCUAUGCCAUGCAGCUACCUGGCUGUUUCACGGGGUGAGGGACUGCCACGGUCCCUUCUGGAAGGUUUAUGCCCAAAGAUCUGCCCUGGUGCAUCCAGAACUGCCUGUGGUUAAACGGUGCCACAAUUACGAGAUUCAUUAUAAGUACACGUAUGAAUGUGGCGAUUGCAGAGCCAGGAUUGGCCGCCACUCCAGAUCCGUGGCUAUAGAUCGAGUAAGCUGUUCAUUGUGCAAUGGACCGCUGAGGCUGCUGCCUCCAUCCCAGACUGUUGAGCCACCUGCACCACCUCGACCUCCUCCAGCUGCCAGCCUGGAAAGACCAAGGCAACCCUCUGGCAAGAAGGGAAAGGCGACAUCAAAGAGGAAUCCGGAUUCUGAGCCCCCUGCCAAGCCCCAUGAUGAUUAGCUAUCUCCCGGGGCACACUAUUGCUGCUUCUUGUCAGUAUGUUUAGUGGGUGGGGAUCCCUUUGAGAUGUAACUUGGAGCUGCUGGCAAUAUUUUCCCUGUGUUUGAUGUUCAUUUUAGUGCUUAUUUAGAAUCCUCUGCAUCGGAGCAAUGACUCCCUGUCACUAUGGCCAAGUCGCAGUAGGAUGGUGGUUGGGAAAAUGGCUGGCUGCCUCUCUUUCCCUUGGUCUCCAUCCUGUCCAUUUAGGUGGAAUGGCCAAGAGGAGGUUAUGGCCCAGAGGGCACUAGGGCAGAUGAUGAUGUGUGAGGGGAGAGAAGGGAGGAUGGCCUGCCCUAGAGAAACAGGAACAGGGCAGUUGGAGGUGUUUGGCCAGGAUUCGACAGAUUGUUAUUGAGUUGUGUUUUCUCUCCCAGAAGAAAGUUGUUAUUAAAGCCAGCUCAAACCCUGGACUUUAUUGUUAUGAAUAAAAGUUUUUAUGAGCUCA